rnacentral:rRNA from 1 species
AGGAUCAUUACCACACCUAAAAAACUUUCCACGUGAACCGUUUCAACCCAAUAGUUGGGGGUCUUAUUUGGCGGCGGCUGCUGGCUUAAUUGUUGGCGGCUGCUGCUGAGUGAGCCCUAUCAAAAAAAAGGCGAACGUUUGGGCUUCGGCCUGAUUUAGUAGUCUUUUUUUCUUUUAAACCCAUUCCUUAAUACUGAAUAUACUGUGGGGACGAAAGUCUCUGCUUUUAACUAGAUAGCAACUUUCAGCAGUGGAUGUCUAGGCUCGCACAUCGAUGAAGAACGCUGCGAACUGCGAUACGUAAUGCGAAUUGCAGGAUUCAGUGAGUCAUCGAAAUUUUGAACGCAUAUUGCACUUCCGGGUUAGUCCUGGAAGUAUGCCUGUAUCAGUGUCCGUACAUUAAACUUGACUUUCUUCCUUCCGUGUAGUCGGUGGAGGAGAUGUCAGAUGUGAAGUGUCUUGCGAUUGGUCUUCGGACCGGCUGCGAGUCCUUUUAAAUGUACUAAACUGAACUUCUCUUUGCUCGAAAAGUGGUGGCGUAGCUGGUUGUGAAGGCUGCUAUUGUGGCAAAUUGGCGACUGGUUUGUCUGCUGCGGCGUUAAUGGAAGAGUGUUCGAUUCGUGGUAUGGUUGGCUUCGGCUGAACAAUGCACUUAUUGGACGUUUUUCCUGCUGUGGCGUGAUGGACUGGUGAACCAUAGCUCGGUGGCUUGGCUUUUGAAUUGGCUUUGCUGUUGCGAAGUAGGGUGGCAGCUUCGGUUGUCGAGGGUCGAUCCAUUUGGGAACUUAAUGUGUACUUCGGUAUGCAUCUCAAUGGACCUGAUAUCAGCAAGAUGCCCCG